UCAAGGAUCAGAUAGAUGUAGUUUCGAAUUACGUAUCGACAUGCGGAAUAUUGUCGAUUUUCCAUAUUUUUAUCGUAAAUUGUUGAUGGGAUGUUAAGAUGGAGGAUUAGUAACUAGCAGCCAUUUGCAUUAUUUUUGUUCUUUUUGCUUAAUGGAGUUUUGUCAUUUUUUUACAAGUGUCGAGUGUAGUUUUGUUGCAUCAAUUUUCCUACAUAUGUAACUAUUACAGAGGAAGAAAAUGGAAGACUUGAACGAGAAGUUUCUUAGUGCGACAAUGUAUGGAAAAGUAGCAGAAAUUCAGCAAUAUUUAGACGAAGGGGCUGAUUUGAAAUACAUGGAUAAAAAUAACCUGACUGCAUUAUACAAAGCAUCUGCCUUUGGACACAUUGAGAUCGUGUGUUUGUUACUAGACCGAGGAAGUGAUUCAAACAUAAACCGGUUAGGUGACAGUGCACUUCACUUGGCUGCUGGAAGGGGACAUGCAGAUAUAGUCCGUUUACUAAUAGACCGUGGCAGUGAUUUGAAUAUGAAGAACUGGGAUCACAUGACUCCAUUACACAAAGCUGCUCUUGGUGUACAUUUAGAUAUAGCACAAAUUUUAAUGGACAGUGGCAGUGAUCCCAGUAUCACAGAUGUGGAUAACAAAACACCUUAUGAUGUUGUACAAGAAAGAAUAGGCGAUUCGGAAGAAAUGAAAGAGAUAAAAAGAUCAAUAAAGAAGUUACUACAGGAAUAUGGAGAAUUCCAGAAAGCUGGAUUACCAUUGGAAGUUCAGAAUCUUGACAAACAAUCUGCUAGUGUAUUUUCUGGUUUACUGCAAGACGAAAGUUACCAUCACUAUGAAGCGAGGAUAAUGUUGGUAGGAGAACAGGGAACAGGAAAAACAACAAUUGCCAGAUAUCUGAUGGGAAAAGGGCCAACAAAGUUUCGAAUUGCAACAGACGGAAUAGAACGGAAUACAAUAAUCUUUCAUUUAUGGACGGGAAAACAACCAAACAAUGGUUGGAUGGUAAACAAGACUUUUCGCUGUAUGACUUGACCGUUAGCAGAUCUUUAUUACCAUCAACAAGAUCUAGGCUGAAAAAAGGAAGAAGUGUUGAUGGCACUAGCAUAUCGUCCCGAGACCAAAAUACAGAUAAAAAGACUUCCUCCCCUAUUUUAUGUGGUUCAAUGGUUGGUAUACAUACAGAGGAAGAUAACCAAUCAGCGGCUAAGAAGCCACAGAAAAGUUUAUCCUUAGAUUUAGGCACACAAAUGUGUUCUUUGUAUAGCCAACAGAUUGAACGUCUGCGACAAAAUAAAUGAGAUACCUGUAGAAGCAAUCCUAUUAAUCAUGAAUCACUUGAUACGUCGACUGAUGAUAGAAAAAGUCAGCUUAUCAACACAAUCCUUCUACAGCUAUUACUAAUCCUGGUGUUAUAAAAAGUUUAAAAGGAUUUUUUGGAGUUUCCAAAAAAGUGACAGAAAUAAAAGUAAUUUCACAAGAAAAUUUGCUGAAGGAAUCCUGGAGAGUUGGAAAGAAAGAGUUGUAUCAGAAGCAAAUAGCUCCGGUGAUUAUUUGGGAUUUUGGAGGUCAAAAUAUUUUCUACAGUACUCAUCAAACGUUUUUGACUUACCGUGCAAUCUACAUACUUGUGAUAAAUGGUAGUAGAACCCUUGAUGAUCCAUGUCCUUUUGAGCAAUAUCUUCCUGGAAGAUGUGGACACAAGACAGCAAGAGAUUAUCUAAAGUUUUGGGCUAACACCAUAAUAACAUAUUGUAAAGGAGGUGGACAAGGAUAUCCAAAAAUCAUGAUUGUUUUGACCCACAAAGACAAAGUGAAGCCUGAAAAUAUUGAAAUGAGAAGAAAAGAACUGUUCGGGGAAAUAACAAAGAUGUUUGAAGGGACAGAAGUGACAGCACAUUUGGUAUUGGAAGAUAAAAUAUUUGUAGACGCAAAAGACAAACUUGACCUAGAAAUGACAAAUAUCCGAAAAAAUAUAAUAGAUGAAGCCAUGGCUCAACCUUCAUGGGGACAACAUUUUCCUAAAUGUUUCAUUCCCCUUGAAAUAGAGCUGAUUAAGUUUAUUGAAAAGAAAGUUCCCAUUAUAACAAUGGUGCAAAUGAAAAAGAUAAACUCGGGACAUCCAAUUAAACCUUUAACUGAUUUCGAGCUAAAGGUGUUCCUCAAAUUUCAGCAUGCCAUCGGUAAAUUAUUAUAUUUUGAUGUACCAAAUUUGGAUCAGCAUAUCAUUUUGUCUCCCACGCAUUUAAUCGAUGCGUUUAAAUCAAGCGUUUCU